GCACAGGGACCCCAGUCCAAAGGACACGCUCUGCUCCUGGCACUACUUUCUUGAUGCUGGACAACGUGGCCCAGGGAUGGCCCCCUUGUCUUCGAGCCGUGGCUGCAACAUGUGACGUGUUACAGGAAGCCAAGAAAUUCAUCCUUGGACAAAAGGUUCCAACACAGAGAUCGGAGACUGGGUCCUGUUAAAAACCUAGAAGAAUCAACCCCUGGAAGAUCAAAUGGCCGCACAGUGGGAGGGACCUUUUGAAGUUCUCCUGACCACCCACUCAUCUCUGAAAUUAGCAGGAGCAGCCACAUGGGUGCAUCACUUGAGAGUAAAAGGAGCCCUGCCAGAAGAAGAGAAAGAAGCAGAAAACAAAGAGCCAUCGUACUCUUGUACUGCAAUUCAGGGCCUGAAGUACAAGUUCAAGAAGCUUACAAUACAUUGAUUUUGACCUUGUUUCCCUCUAUCUUUCUAUUUUCUCAGGAGACCUGGACAGAAAAGGUGCUGGUGAUCUUACAGGCAAAGGGGACACUGACCUUGCAAGCUGGGGACACUCUGACCUUCCUGUUUGUAGUCUCAGCCCUAACUCCAGUAGGUCCAGUUAAGUGGGCCGUAGAAGAGCCUGAAAAAGGAACCUUAAGAAUAUCUCUACAAAAGGUUUAAGAUUCACCGAUGUUCCUCCUUGGAGGGCGGAAAACAAGUGAGAAUGCUCUAGGAAUGACAAACUGAACAAAGCACCCAUCUUGGGACAAGAAAACCAGGAUGUCACCAGAUAACCCCCAAGAAAAGAUCAACUCAUCUGGGACGUGACCACCUCAAGGGGGAACUAACACAAACUUCUAAGACCCAUAAUCCUGUCCCUAUAAAAGCCUGUGGCCAAUCUCCAGUAGGGGAGUGGGGUUUUUUGAGGAAUCUAUUCUCCUCUGUCUCCUAUAUAUUGAUAUAUAAUAAAACUCUUGCUACUCACCUCACCUGUCUCAGAAUUGGCUAUUGUGGCAGGUGGCUCCAAUCUGUGUUAUUGCAAUAACAAUUGAGAA